AUGGCCGGGCGUUGCGGAUCGCUGUCUCGCUCCCUGAUGUCGUCGGCGAGGGCUUCGUCGUCGCCGUUCCGCUCGUCGCCGCCGCCUCUCUCCCGCCUCCUCCGCCCGCCUCCCGUGGCCUCCCCGCGCCUCCAGUCUCGCCGCCGCCCCUCCUUCGCCGCUCCCAGUAGGAGCAUGGGUGAACUAGGGUGCACUCAGUCUCUUCUGCCUCUACAAUGCACUCCCAGGCUUACCUCGCACCUCAGUGUAGCCGUGCGAGCAUGCUGCGAGCUGUCUCACGGUACCUUCUGCCGUACUUGUCAGGAUCGCUAGUAUUUUCUUUGGUGGAAUGGAAAAGAUGGGUGAUGCACAAGGACUUUCAAUCAUGCAAAGGCACAGUAAUGGUUCUGAAAAUUGUAGGUACUUGAGCAGCUCUUGGAUUAGCACAACCAUGUGCUAAAGCAUAGAUGGGACUUGCAGAAGGUGGAUGUGGCCAGGGAAGACAAAAAGUUUGUAGACCUAAGAAAUAAAGUGUUGAUUUUAUUGUCAAAAGAGAACUUGAGGACUUGUUGGACGGGCAUUCUCUCCUGUGCAGUUUGUAUUAGAUACUUCUUCAUCCACUGCUCUUCCUUUUGAGCACAGUCGCUUUCUAAUCUUUCAGAUCAAUCUUAAGAUGCGAGGUUUUGUCCAUUUUCAUGAA